rnacentral:lncRNA from 1 species
AUGUUUUUUGCAUGUAUUUUCCAUACUUGUACUAUUUAACAAAUAUUUGUGUUGGUGUAUUAUUUUACUAUGAUAAUUUUUUUGAACGGAAACGAAUAAAUCAUUAUUCAGAAAAACAACCAGUGGGGAGCUGAUUGCUUUUGGAAAGAAAGAAAACACAACAAUACAAGACAUCAAACAAAACCAAAAAAUUACCCAGCCUCUUUGAAAGGGUUGUUGGACCAGUCUUCUCAAUCCAGAGAUGAUUCGUUGCCUCUGUUUUUUCAUCCAAGAAUAAGCUUGCACCUUAAUAUCCUUGAAAGCUUUAUUCGCAUUAGUCAUUUUAUUAGCAAAAAUCCAAUCAUUUCUUAUUUUCCAAAUCAGCCAUAAUGUAGUGUACAAGAUUAAGGUCCUAAACUUUCUUUCUCUUUUGAAAAGGUUACGAGCAUACGUCCCUUUGAGCAACUGAGAAAUGUUGGUCACCGAAAGAAGUUACUGGAUGACCACCGCCGAAUUCUGCACCAAAUCUCCUUCGCAAAUGGGUAGGCAAGGAAAUGAGGGCCGGCCCGUAAGGCUUAUAAACCUAGGCUAAGGCCUAGGGCCACCAAAAAAUAAGGGCCUCCAAUUUUGUUUCUGUUAAAAAUAUUGCCUAGUGGGCUUAUAUAUUAUCAUCCAUUGGUCUGUUGGAAUGGGCUUAUAUAUUAUCAUUCAUUGGUUUGGGCUGUUAUUGAUUUGUUAUUGGAUCUGUUAUUGGGCUUAACUAACGUUUAUGUUUAGUUGUUGGGUUGUUACAGAUGCAAAAUAUCUUCAAGGGGUUUUGUGUAAAUACAAGGACUGGAUGUGCUGAUUCUUUAAAGUUUUGGGUUAAAGUUGGAGUUAUCAAGUUACAUCCUAUUUAAGGGUUUGAUCUUCUUUGAUUAGUUCAGUUGAUCAGAUUACUUUCUCUCUCUUGUUGUUGUAACCUUCUAGGGUUUGUACGAAUAAUCUCUCUUCUGAAAUUAGAGAGAUUAUUCUUCUGUUGUUGUUGUAUUCUUGUUCUGAUGAUCAUCAGUGGAUGAUCAUCUUUGUACUGCUGUAUUUGUGGUUGAUUAGAUCUUACAGUUGUAAGAUCAUUUGGGUAUUUAGGGGGCAAAUCUUUUGGGUUGGUUUAAUAAGAGUUUUGUCACCUGUUUUGUCGCUAUUUCUU